rnacentral:lncRNA from 1 species
CUCUUUAUUUCGAUUUCAUAUUGUCUAUGAAAGUCAUGAGGAACUAAUCUCCUUGUGGGGGAUUACCAAGUGGAGGUAUGAUCUAUUAAUUGUUUUAUAAGGUUACUCAACAGAUCAACUGUUAUGGAAAGGAAGAACGUGAAACAAACACUGGGCCUAACAACCCCGAAAAGUCAUCAAGGUGGAAAUUAACUGAAAAUUGGUAUUGUCCAUUUGUGAACACUUUCACCUCAAACUAGUUUGAACUGUGAGAUCAAAAGAUAAGUAGUUCUUGCUGACUCGUUAUAUUAGUGGAAGAUUGGAAGAUCCUGCUAGGGUAGCGACUAGUUGAUUGACGAGAAACCUGAGGUAACAGUUGAUGAGGAUUAUCGAAGCAAGCUAAUCACCCAUAAUCAAGAUUUCAUUUACUCUUCUAUCUCCUAAUUUUAUUUACUAUAUGUUAUUUUAAUUUCUUAUUCUGAACACUUAAAAAACCCCUCUUUUAUGCUCUUAUAGUAUAAUUUAUUUAAAGUACUAACUAGAUCUUUUAGUAUUUAGGUUAAAAUUGAUCUAGCGCUCGCCUGUAUUAGGUACAAUCCUCGGAGUACUCACCUACUUCGUUGUAAAAAUAUAUUACAACUUGACCCAUAUACUUUCAGAUACUGUCUUUUCGUUCUAUAUUUUAUUGCAGUAUUAUGUCUAGAGGCAACCUUUAACUCUUUUUGACCAUGUGGUUCAUCCUAUACUUAAAAUAAAAAUAUACAACCGUGUGACAACCCGUGUCCCAGGUCGUAUGCUCUCUAAAUUACCCCUAAUGCAAGCCUUACACACCAAGCCAAUCAAUUUCUAGAUACUUUCACAUGAUUAAAUUACAUUCAAGGACACCAAAAAAAUGCCAAAAAUCAUUCAUCCUAUUUCUAACCAAUAUGCUAUCAAUAGGCACCACAAUUCAUACACCAAAUCAACUCAAGUACAAAACUAAAAAUCCACACCUUAAACAUAUAACAAUCAUACCAAAAAGUCAUUUCAUUCUCAGUAUAAACCAUAAUGACUUUAACACUUUCCAUAGGCAUAACCAAAGUGUCCAUAAAACACCUAAUUUUAGACAUUUACAAGCAAAACAAAAAACAUAUAUGCAAGUAGCUACAAGUAAGAUCAAUUCACACCAUAUUGGAAAAAUAGCUCAAAACACCUAUUACAUGUCAUUUAUAACCAUCAACUAAGUAAUAAAAAACUACCAAAGAGAAGGAUGGAUAGUGUGAUUGUACUCCGACGAGAUUCCAAUCGAUCGAGCUUUUCGAUGAUCUACAAGAAAAAGAAAACAACUACAUAGGCAACUAGUACUUAGUAAGCUCGUAUAAAGGAAACUUAAACUUACCGAACAUAUUAUGUUUAAAACAACCAACCAUAAUUUCAUUAAAUCAUAAGCAUAAUUUUGUUUCCUAAACACACUUCACAGGGUUGGUAAGUGUAUAAAUCAACAUAUAAAUCCAACCAACUUAUGGAACAUACCACAAUAAGCAUUCAAUAUAUAUUUCAUCCAUCAUGUAUUUAAAUAAUACCCUUUUCAUUUCAAGCACAUACAUCAACAUUUUUCAUUUCAUCUUGUAAUAACAUUGACCAUUUCAUAUACUUACAUAUUCAGAUUAAACUUUAAUCACCCAUCGAACCAAAUGGAAUAUCAUUAGAUACUCGAGAAUUGCUUACAUAAGCUGUGAUUGGAACAUGUAAUCAUAUAUGCUCACAAGAGCUGUGGGUCGCGAUGUUAAGCUACACGAUGCUGCUCACACGAGCCGUGGGGAAUUGACAACAAAUGUAGGACCCCAGCUAUCGGUAGAACAUCCAAGACCAGCACCCGAAAUCGUAUAACCCCUAAUGACAUGUCAUUUGUAUCUUAAGUUUUCACAAGGCUCAAAUGGGACUAUUGUACAAAUCCAAUUAUUUUAUUUUCAUUACAUAAUGCUAUUCAAACAUGCUUUAAGGAAAUAUACAUUCUCAAAUAUAACAUUCAAUUUAACUAACAUCAUAAUUUGAUCCAAUAUAAAAAUAUCAUACAACUAUCAAUCAAAAUUAUACAUAGCAUAAUAUUUAUUAACAUUACAUUCAAAACAUCAUUUAAUAAGUUUAAUACUUAUAUAAACUUACCUCGACAAAAACGGUUGCAAAAACAAAGUCGACAACUAGUUUGAAACUUUAGUUUUUCCUCAAUUUAAAUUCGAUUAUUGCGUUUCUUGAUCUAAAUAGUAUUUUCAUUCAAUUAAUACUAUUCUAGAACUUAAAUAAGUAAUUUUAUACAGUUAACCCCUUCCAUCAUUAUUUUAAAAAAUUACCCUAAUAUUUUAACUUUUGUAUGAUUUAGUCUCUAAACCUAAAACUUGUAAAAUUACGAUUUUAAAAGAAAAACCAUAGUAGUUGGUUUUCCUAGGGGUCAAUUACAGCCCAUAUCUUUCAUUAAUUCACCCUAUUUUCAUUGGAUUUUAAUAUUUUAACAAUUUAAUCCUUAAAUAUUAAAAUUAUUAAAAAUCACUUAACAAAUUACUUCUUUUUAGCUACCAACCUUAAUAAUCUAUCAACUAAGUUCAAAAACACUUUAAUUUUAUCAAUGGCAAAAAACGUUUAACAAUUUUACAAAUUAACCCUCGGGUUAGCUAGAUUAAGCUAAUAUAGUAACAGAAACAUAAAAAUCAUUAAAAAUAGACUGAAACUUCAUACCAUGCAAUUGAAAUUUCUUUGGUCGAAGCUUGCUCCUCCCUUGGCUAUGGUUUUUCCGUUCUAGGGUGAAAGAAAGGAUGAAAAUGAUGAUUAUUUCAUAUUGUUUUACUUUACUAUUUACCUAAAAUUAUUAUUUUUAAUUAUUCUUCAUCUAUCUGCUCCUUUGUAGUACAUUUCUAAAAUAAGACCUUGGUUUUUCUCUAUUUUUUUUAUUUUUCGCUAGAUCUGGUGGUUUUUUAUUCUUUAGUUUGGGUUUUGUUUGUAUAUGAAGGAAUCUAAAAUAGAGGCUAACAUGGCCAAGUUGCGUAUAUCGGAUGGGAAGAAGGAGAAAGUCCUACAGAUUGAGGGAAUUUUCGAGGGAAAUCACAGGCUGUAUGAUCUAUGCUUUGUGGGUUUCCUUACUGCUAGUGUGGUUUAAUUUCAAGUUAUGUGAAAUACGUUAGCAAAUCUCUGGCAUCCUUUAAGAGACAUUGAGAUCUCGGAUCUAGGGGAGAAGAGAUUUUUGUUUAGGUUUUCUCAUCAGGUUGAUUUCGAGUGAGUGAUAAAAGGGGCGCCCUAGACUUUUAAGAAUCGUCUAUUGAUUUUUCAUCGGUUUCUAAGAAGAAAGAGGGUGAGCAAUUUCUAGCUUAUCAAACUAAUUUAUCGGCAAUCACUUGGGGGCAUGUCGACCGACAUCAAUGAAGAUUAUGAGUUGGAAUGUUCAUGGAUUGAGGAGUCCAUGAGUAUUAAGGAGGCUUCAACAUAUGUUGAAACUUCACAAUUCCUAAGUUGUCUUAUUGAUGGAGUUGAAGUUGGAUUCUGUCAGAAUGGAGAGAGUGUGUCAUCUGAGGGGUUUGUGCAUGGUAUUGAUGUUCCAGUAGUGGGUACGAAGGGGCUUUAGUUUUGGGUGGAAGAUUGAUAUUGACAUUAAUUUGUGAAAUUUUUUUACUAACCAUAUUGAUGUGGAUAUUUAUGGUCCUGAUGAUGGAAUUAAUUUGAGGCUAACAGGGUUUUAUGGCUCUCCUAAUAUGAGAAACUGUAGUACAUCUUGGCAUCUACUUCGAAGCUUAGGGAGGGAUUAGAAUUUGUCGUGGUUGGUACAUUUUACUCUUUUAAAAAGAAAGGGAGUGUUUUGCGUGAUGAUAGAAGGAUAGGAGAGUUUCAACGGGUGUUGAGGGACUUCCAAUUGGAGGAUUUAGGUUUUAAAGGUCCUUCGUUUACUUGCGAGAUGGGUAACUUUGAGCAUAAUAAUAUAAUGGAAAGGUUGGAUAGGGUAGUUACGAAUUUUGCUUGGCGGGUAAAGUUUCCAAAUUUUGUGGUGUGCCACUUGCCUCACUCAUUUGUUGAUCAUUGUCCUCUAUUGUUGGUAAUAGAUAAGGGGGAGGGGAAUAUUCAGAGUAAUCAUUUUCGGUUUGAAGCAUCUUGGACGUUAGAAGAUUCAUGUGAAGCUAAAGUUCGUAAACUUUGGGAGCAGAGUAGGGGUACUCUUCCACAUCGGCUUGAGUUGUUGGGGCAUGGUUUGGAAUCUUGGGCUGAUAGGUUGAGAAAGGAGAAGGGUAGAAGGUAGAGGCAUCUUUGUAGAAAGAUUGAGGAAUUUAACUUGGGCGAAUGGGAUAAUGAUAGCAUUUUCAAUCUUAUGGAGAGUAAAAUUGAUUUGAAUUUGGAGUUAGAGAAAGAAGGAAUGUAUUGGGAGCAAAGAGCACGUGUGAAUUAGUUAAAGCAUGGUGAUCGUAAUAUGAGUUUCGUUCAUCGUAUAACAUUUCAAAGGAAAAGGAUGAACAUGGUGAAAUGGUUGGAUAAGGGAGAUGGUCAUGUAACUAGUGAUGUAGGGGAGGUGAAUGAAAUUGCCAGGGAGUAUUUUAUGGAGUUAUUUACCUUUUAGGGAUUGUGUGAUUCUGAUCAUAUUUUGGGGGGUGUUAAUGGGUGUAUUUUGGAGGACAUGAAUCAAUGCCUCACGACCUGAUAUGAAAGAGAUAAGAUGCUUAUAACAAAGAAAGCAAUGGUGCCCACAAAGGCGUCAGGACCUAAUGGUUUUCCUGCUCUAUUCUUUCAAAAUUAUUGGCAUAUUGUAAGAGAGGAGGUGGGAACUUAUUGUGUUAAUACCGAAAACAUCAAAACCGAAUAAUAUGAAAAAUUUUCACCCUAUAAGGCUCUGCUCGGUGUUGCAUAAAAUUAUCUCUAAAACCGUGGCUAAUCAUUUCCAAAAAGUUCUAAGUUGUUGUAUUGAUGAAGCGCAAAGUGCUUUCAUUCCUAAGAGGUUAAUUAUUGAUAAUAUUUUGCUUGCGUAUGAGAUCUUAGAGGUGUUUAAAUGGAAAAGGAUUGGUAUGAAGGGUUAUUUUCCCCUUAAACUCGAUAUGAGUAAGACAUAUAAUGGGGUGGAAUGGGAGUUCUUGAGGAAGAUGCUUUUGAAGAUGGGUUUUGUGGAAAGAUGGGUUGGUUUUAUUCAUAAUUGUGUGAGCUCAGUAACCUGUUCUGUAAUUCUCAAUGGAGAGGUGAGUCAAAGGUUUUCACCCCGGAGGGGACUUCGUGAAAGAGAUUUGCUUAGCCCGAUUUGUUUUUAAUAUAAAGUGAAUGUUUAUCCUCGAUGCGCGUGGCAAGUCAGAGUAGAUUAAUCAAAGGCGCAAGAAUCGGUAGGGGGACCAAAAAUUUCUUAUAUUCUGUUUGCUGAAGAUUGUAUCUUAUUAGGGGGUUACGUGAGAGAAGCAAUGUUUCUACAAUAGAUUCUUAAAGAAUACAAGGAAGCGUUGGGCCAAUGUGUUAAUUAUGAAAAAUUUGCUAUCUAUUUCAGUUCAAAUGUGGGGGAUGAUAUAAGGUAUGAGAUAUCAAGGUGCUUGGAGGUUAGUAUUUCAACUGACCCUUAAAGAUACUUAGACUUAACUAUUAUGGUUGGAAUGAGUGAAAGGCGGGCGUUUCAAGGAUUGAAGGACCGUAUGCGGUGUCGCAUUAACAAUUGGUGUGUGAAAGCAUUGUCUCAAGGGGAAAAUAAGUUUUUAUAAAGAGUGUUCUACAAGCUAUUCUCACUUUAACGAUGUCUUGCUUUUUAUUACCAACUUCAUUAUGUCAAGAUCUAGAGCAUAUUAUCUCUCAUUAUUUGUGGCAAAAAUUUUAUGGUAAGCAAAGGAUUCAUUGGUGUGCAUGGUCUAUGUUGUGUUCAUUGAAACACCAUGGUGGGAUGGGUUUUCAAGAUCUUAGUAAGUUUAAUUUUGCUCUUUUGGCCAAGUAGGGUUGGCGAUUAAUUAAAGAUCAGAGUUUAUUAUUGGCGCGAUUGUUUAAAGCUAAAUAUUACCCUAAUUUUGAUUUUUUGAAAGCUAGUUUAUGAGUCUACCCAUCUUAUACCUAAAAGAGUAUAUGAUCUACAAAGGGUCUGCUUCUGAGGGCCUGGGCUAGCAAGUGGGCACAGGCACAAGCAUUGACAUAUAAGAGGAUAGCUGGGUCCCUGGUCUACCUAUACAAAAAAUUCAGGCUAUGGAUGAGAACAUACAUUAUAGAAAAACAUCUGAUUUAAUUGUUCAUCAAGAACGGGUGUGGGAUGUGGGAAUAAUUACUAGUUGUUUUGAUCUUGAUGUGGCGAGUAGGAUUCAAUGUAUUCCUCUUGCCUCGCAUCCUCAACCGGAUAUGGUGGUUUGGCGAGUUGAACCCGCAGGUGAGUAUACCAUUCAGAGCAGUUACAGAUUAUUACAAGGAAAUAAAGAGUUAAAUGAAAAUGCAGUGGAUUGUUACAAUAUUUUUUACAAGAAGCUAUGGAAACUAAAAAUUCCAAAAAAGGUUAAAAUCACAGUCUGACGCAUUUCCAAGAAUCUAAUUCCUAAUUCACACAACUUGUACAAUAGACGCUUGGUGGGUUCUACGAUUUGCCCAAAGUGUGUACGGGGUGUGGAGGAUUUGGAGCAUGACUUUCGGGAUUAUCCUUUUGUUGCUGUUGUUGGGACCUAUUGAAUAUUAAAUGGAAUGGUGAAGAGGGCGGUCACAAUUUUCAAGAUUGGUUACUGAGAAUGUUUCAUAACUCUUCGGAAUAUACCCAUAGGCAGAUUUCAUGUAUGAUCUGGUUCCUCUAGUUAGAGAGAAAUAAAUGGGUGCAUGACAGAUCGUUUGCCUCGUCAUAAUAGAUUGUAAGUAAGAUUUCGUCCUAUAUGUAUGAACUUAAUGUAAUUGAGAAGAAAUUACCUGUUACGAAAGUGGGUUUUGAGAGGUGGAGACCACUAGAUGAACCUUUCGUUAAGAUAAAUUUUGAUCCGGCAUUUCAUGUUCUUACUUCAAAUUCCUGUUCAGGGAUAAUUAUCAAAGAUGGUAGAUCUAGAACUAUUGUUGAAAAAGUAACUGUAAAUGGAAACAUACCGUCGGUCUUUGCGGCUGAGGCACUUGCAUGCCUUUAAGCGCUUAGAUUGGGGGUGGAUCUUGGUUUUAAAAGGGUGGUGGUGGAAGGGGAUUCUCUUUCUGUGAUAAAGAAAACGAACUCAAGUUGUGUUGAUAGAUCAGCAUUGGGGCGUAUAUUCAUGACAUUAGAAUUGAACAACGAAAAUUUGGAGACUGUGAGGUUAUUUAUGUCCCCGAGAGGUGAACAUAUUGGCUUAUUUCCUAGUACAAGAGGGAUGGAGAAGGGGAGAUGGUCUAAAUCUGGAAAAUAGUUACCUGGUAGAGAUGGUGGCUUUGAACUGUAGGGGUGUUGGAGAGGACGACGGAGCGGGUGUUGGAAUGGCUUGUGGGUAGUUGAUGUUUUAUUCAAAAGGGUUUUGGUGAUGGGGAUUUUUUAUGAGGGCGAUAAGAACGAUUGGUUUUCUGAAAGCAGGGAUUAAAGGAAAUGGCGGUUUCCAAUGGUUUUCUGACCUACUCCUGUUGUUUGUAGUCUCCCAUGGUCUACACGUGUAUUCAAUAUGGUGCGUGGCUUUUCUGUCUAGGCUGGAGUUGCUUGUUUUGUUUUCUUUUUGCUGCUAUUUGUUUUUCCGAGCUUUUGUUUCAACUGUUUU